CACUCUGGGAUAAGCCCGGGAAACUGGGUCUAAUACCGGAUACGACACUCCGAGGCAUCUUGGGGUGUGGAAAGUUCCGGCGGUGCAGGAUGAGCCCGCGGCCUAUCAGCUUGUUGGUGGGGUAAUGGCCUACCAAGGCGACGACGGGUAGCCGGCCUGAGAGGGUGACCGGCCACACUGGGACUGAGACACGGCCCAGACUCCUACGGGAGGCAGCAGUGGGGAAUAUUGCACAAUGGGCGAAAGCCUGAUGCAGCGACGCCGCGUGAGGGAUGACGGCCUUCGGGUUGUAAACCUCUUUCAGCAGGGAAGAAGCGAAAGUGACGGUACCUGCAGAAGAAGCACCGGCUAACUACGUGCCAGCAGCCGCGGUAAUACGUAGGGUGCGAGCGUUGUCCGGAAUUAUUGGGCGUAAAGAGCUCGUAGGCGGUUUGUCGCGUCGAUUGUGAAAGCCCGGGGCUUAACCCUGGGUCUGCAGUCGAUACGGGCAGGCUAGAGUUCGGCAGGGGAGACUGGAAUUCCUGGUGUAGCGGUGAAAUGCGCAGAUAUCAGGAGGAACACCGGUGGCGAAGGCGGGUCUCUGGGCCGAUACUGACGCUGAGGAGCGAAAGCGUGGGGAGCGAACAGGAUUAGAUACCCUGGUAGUCCACGCCGUAAACGGUGGGCACUAGGUGUGGGCAACAUUCCACGUUGUCCGUGCCGCAGCUAACGCAUUAAGUGCCCCGCCUGGGGAGUACGGCCGCAAGGCUA
rnacentral:rRNA from 1 species